rnacentral:lncRNA from 1 species
UACCGAGGAUCUGAGCCCGUAUGACUCAUUUGCGAGCCAUUCCUGUCGUCUGGAUGCCAUAACAUUGGAGGAAUGAUGAUCGUUUCUUGGAGAUUCUUCUGUGGCCAGAGUUGCCAAGACCAAGGCUGUAAUGGUGCCAUGAAGUCUGCAGAACAAGUUCAUCCACUGCAUGCCACUUGAUCCUCCUGAUGAUCCAGUGAGGUGGAUGGAUGGGAAAGCCUUCCCCAAGCUUCAGAGGAAACUCUUUUCAUGUGAACUGGAAAAGAUGAAUUUCAAGCUUCAUUGAGAUCUUGAAAACCUAAAAUCCUCCAUGAAAAAAACCCUGCAUCUCCAGAAUCUUUCAUCCCAAAGAAUUAGAAAGCUUUUUUUCUUGGGCUCUGAAAUGGUUGGAUUAUUAACUAUGAUAACUUAAGUUACUGAAUAGAAGGAUGUAAUAAAUCUGAAGGUAUUUGUUCUGGUUUUGACUAA